rnacentral:lncRNA from 1 species
CUAAACUUGAGAGGACCGCGGAAACAUGAAACCCUAAAAUUCGUUUCCAUUUCUACAUAUAUCUCGUUCAAAUUGAACCUUGCAAGAGCUGCAGAAACAUAAAACCCUAAAAUUGAGGAACCGUUCAAAUAAAUUUUUUAGGGUUCCAGUAAUCAAGAUUCGCGGAGAAAGAAUCAGUUUCGUAAACAGAGAAGAAAUUUGCUCGAACGAAAGAUUCGUGGCAAUGCGAUAAUGAAUUUUUGGUAUAGUUAGCGACAAUGAAUUUUUGUUACUAGGGUUGAAUCGAUGAUGAAUUAGAAUGAAAUAGGAAGAUCGAAAACGAUGAAGAGAUGAGAAAAAUAGUUAUUAGCGAUAACAAAGAAACCAAAUCACAAAUCAAGAAUCAUGAUAGUGUGCGUAUG